rnacentral:sRNA from 1 species
UGGUAGAUGCACCCUGAUGGCAACCCUGAAACUUGCUGGAGUUUCAGGGUUUUUUUCU